CAAUAUAGAAGCGGGCAGAUGCCACUAGUGAAUCAGGUCAGGACAGGAAUGUAGCAGCCUUAAGCUAGUCAGGUAUUGUGCUCGUUUUUGUUUUAUCUCAAU
rnacentral:SRP_RNA from 1 species